GCUGAAGUGGUGGAAUUGGUAGACACGUUGGACUUAAAAUCCAAUGCCCAUUAGGGCGUACGGGUUCAAGUCCCGUCUUCAGUA
rnacentral:tRNA from 1 species